UGCUAACGGAGCUAACGUGUCUGAAAGAAUAUAACAUAAGAAGACACAAUGAAACGAAACAUUAUGAGAAGUAUAAAGCCGCCUUCACACUGCACACGACAAACGACCGCCGAUAAACCGGAAUUCCUUCAUUUCCUACGGAGAGUCGCAAGCUCUCCAUCUGCGGAUCCGUUAAAAAAUUUGAACUUGUGCGACCGAUAUACCGACCGGAUGUGAUGUAUUCCAAUGUUGUCCAAUCAGUCGCGGAUACCGGCAGACUGGAGCCAAUGGAAAUGCUUGUCUCCUUCUGUGCGCGUCUUUAUUCCUCUGAGAACUUCAAUUAUCUGGAAUGAUUAGUAUAUUAAUUGAUUUACGAUGCCUACCGAGCUAACACAUACUAGUUACCUAAUAAUCCUACAGUGCACCCAAGAA